rnacentral:rRNA from 2 species
AAGGUAUCUUGGAAUGGUGGCUGGCCUAUGUUCCUUGGAAAAGGACGUCAUAGAGGGUGAGAACCCCGUAUGGCUGGGCGUGCUGUUCCUUGUAAGAUUCCUUCGACGAGUCGAGUUGUUUGGGAAUGCAGCUCUAAGUGGGUGGUAAAUUCCAUCUAAAGCUAAAUAUUGGCGAGAGACCGAUAGCGAACAAGUACAGUGAUGGAAAGAUGAAAAGAACUUUGAAAAGAGAGUGAAAAAGUACGUGAAAUUGUUGAAAGGGAAGGGCAUUUGAUCAGACAUGGUGUUUUGCGCCCUCUGUUCCUUGUGGAUAGGGGAAUCUCGCAGCUCACUGGGCCAACAUCANUUUUGGCGGCCGGAUAAAACCAUAGAACGUANCUUGCUUCGGUAAGUGUUAUAGCUUGGUGGGCCUACNGCNGCCGGGACUGAGNACUGC